rnacentral:rRNA from 1 species
UAGGCUGCAACUCGCCUACACGAAGUUGGAAUUGCUAGUAAUCGUGGAUCAGCAUGCCACGGUGAAUACGUUCCCGGGUCUUGUACACACCGCCCGUCACACCAUGGGAGCUGGUAACACCCGAAGUCAGUAGUCUAACCGCAAGGAGGACGCUGCCGAAGGUGGGAUUAGCGACUGGGGUGAAGUCGUAACAAGGUAGC